CCUCCAAAGGGAUCUGCGUCAGUAGACCCAUGAUCGCCUCUGGGACUUCUUCCCAGCCCCAAACGUCAAGACCAUUUAAGCACAGACUUGUAGCUUCUAGAGUUAGGGAGAUAUGAGUUCAGAUCCCAUUUCCUCCAUUUAGUAGCUAUGACACGUUGGGCGCAUUACUCAUUUCCUGUUCUUUAAUUUAACAUCGGGGUCAGAGUAAUAACACCUACCUCAACUGUUGAAGCCUUAAAUGAGCCAGUGGGCAUAAAGUCGGCCCUUCCCCCAGUUGAGGGCAUCUGUACAGUUCUGUGUACCUGUCAUUGAUCACUUGCCCCAUGUGUUGUGCUGUGGCCUCUCCGGGACCCUACUGUCAGUCUCUUCCCCUCACAUCCAAUAGUCAAUCUACACGAACAAAGCCUGUGGGCAGAAACUGCAUUAAAAACUUAAACUUUCAAGAACCAAAGUGAUAGAAAAUCUAGGGCUUUAAUGGAAGCUGUCCCUUAACUAGAACCUCUGUGGCUGGGGACACCAGUUACAGGGCUCAGGGUACAGCAGAGGUUGCUUUGCUCAAUAUUUUACAUCUCCCAUUAAACUGAGAACAAAAUUCCUGUGAUGAGUGGAUUGGAAGAGGAGUGAUUUUAUGUUCUCUGAGUACGUCUGUACACUAACCAAGAUUUGUCAUUUACUAUUUUUUAUCUAAAAUUUCAGUCACAGGUUAAUAAUGGAUAAAGAUAACAUGCAUUCAGUCCUUGGUCCUCUCUCUUCCUCUCCAGCUCUGCUUUUGGAGCGAUUCCCAGUUUAAGGCACUGGAGACGGGAUGCUCAUCACAAAAAGAUCAUGAUCUUCAGUGUCCGUGUAGGUCACUGUCUCAAAAUGCUACUCCUACAACGACUUGCACUCCAUCCACUCCAGUGGACCUUCCCGUCCGCUCCACCUUAGCCACCAGGUCCUGUGUCCACACGGUCAUAUUCAGAAAUACGCCAGUUGGGAAAUCAGGGUCUGUUACACUAUUCUUUUAAUAACCACUUGGUUCUCUGGUUUCAUCACUCACGCCUCAUAUAGCAUUGUCUCCCUCUUUUCUACCAACCUGUCACUCCCUUGUUCUCACUUCUUUCCCAGUUCAGUUUAGAAAUCAUAACUCACUCCUUCAACCUCAUAAUCAUCUCUGCCUUCAAUUCCAUUCCCUAUGUAUUUCACUGAACAAGAUCUAUAUAACUGCACUAGUCCAGUCACCAGUUUACCAUCAUCCCAGAGAUGUACGUACAUGAUUGCAAGAAGGCACGCUUUGUACAACUCUAAGUAAACGUCCUCUUACCAAGUGAUACUGGCUGCAGUGGGUUAUGAAUUAAUAUUUAAGUAAAUUUUGUAAUUAUCUGGUGUAUCUGUGAAUACAACUAUAUUGGAUUGCAA